rnacentral:tRNA from 723 species
GGAGCGGUAGUUCAGUUGGUUAGAAUACCGGCCUGUCACGCCGGGGGUCGCGGGUUCGAGCCCCGUCCGCUCCGCCA